AUGUGAGACUUGACCCCAGGACCCAGAAUCAGCACCUGAGCCAAAGGCAGAUGCUCAACCACUGACCCACCAGGUGUUCCUUAAAAUUGUAUUUGUUUUUAGCCAGGUAAUGCUUGUACAUGGUACAGAAGUUCAAAAUUCACCACAAAGGUAUGCAGCAAGAGGUCUUCUCUCCCUGGAGGCAGCCACUGUCGCCUGGUCACCCAUCCAGAGAAGUUCUGUCCAGCGGUUCUCCAGCUGCUCUUCCCAAAGCUCCAGGCUUCCCACCAGCGCAUCAGAAGCCUGCAUGGGGGGAGGGGGGAACAGGCCACUCCCAACCCCCCCCCCCCACUUCAACUACAGUCACUUCCCUCCGCUCUGCUUCAGAGGGUGCCUCCUGAGCUUUGUGCCACGAGUCCCUCUGCUAAAAGCAGGUUUCAGCUCCUACCUUCACUUUACAGAUGAGGAAGUGGUCCCCUUUUCCAUCAGUUUUGUGACAGGAGGGUUUGGUGGGGGACACAAGGUAUAAUCCCUUAAGAUUCAGAAGAGGUCACAGUUCAGAAGACCGGAUGAGAAGUCUUGGCCCUCUGCUUUCUGAUUUUAACAACCCACCACAUGAGGUUAAGAAAAGCCUUUGAGAGCAAGGUAAAGAUAUUCUCUCACCAGCCUUGCUAACCCGUUGGCUCCUGGGGUGUGGAGCUUACCUUUUGCAUCUGCUCAUGGCUGAGACCCUGUCUUCCUCACCAAGCAGCACCCCCUCCCCCAGAAAAACUUCUUGGGCUUCCAGUAAAGGCCGCCCUUGCCGUACAUACACUUCUGAACGUGACUUCUGUGUCUGCCCUCCGUUGGGGUUCCCAAGCUCUUCCCUUGAAGCAGAGCACUCUGUGGCCCUCCUUGUGCCCAGAGCUGAGCAGUCCCGGCGCCUGCCUCCCAGCAGGGCAGUAUGCCUUUUCCUGUCCAAACAUGGCAAUGAAGCACUAUUAGCCAGAAUUACCUCAUAGAGGAAAUGAGGAUUUCACAUGCCUCUUCCUCCACAGCCUGCUGCUCUGUUUGUAGUGGUCCACAGGCCCGAAUUCAGUGGCAGCAAGAUGGGCCACAUCUAAUUUAAAGGGAUUUGCAUGCAGGCUGCAUUCCUCCUUUAUCUGGGGGGAGUGCUUUGUUAGGCGAGCUAGAAGCCACCCUUUGGUCACCCCCACAGGAGCACCUGUGCCCAGGUGAUGUCCUCGGCCAUUACCAAGAAUGUCAAUUUAGUGUCAACAGGAAGAUGAGACUCACUUUCCUAAAGGCAGAAACUUCUGGAUUAGUUUUUCUCACCCAACAGUAGUGAUAAGAGCAGAGCCACAUUUUUCAAUCUGCCUUCCUCGGUGCACAUGGCAAGUGUCUCAGUGGUGGGCCUCCAUUAUCUGGGCUGCAGAAAAGGCAAAUGCUCCUCCAGCCAUCUUUUUCUUGAUUAGGUGACACAUGCCCUUGGUGUCAACUUCAGAAGAUCCAUAUGGGCUUCCGGUGUGUGAAUCUCCCAGCUGCAUCUCCUGGCCCCCCAGUGCCUCUCCCCAGAAGCAACUACUACAAAACCACUGGAAUAGCCUUUCAAGGCUGUGUCUUCAAGUGAAUAAAAAUAUAUUUAAUACAAAUGGGAACCUAUCAUGUUCUCUAUCCUGCACCUGGCUUUUUGCUCUACACCUGCCAAAUCACCCAGUGGCCCCACUCCUUCCAUAGCUGAGCUUAUCAAUGGCAGGGCCACACAGAAUUUAGCUAAUCACAUUCAGGGACAUUUAGGGGUCUCCCAUUUUCAGCUACUACAAUGUGGCAGUGAACAUCCUUGGUCAUUUCACACAUGUAUGAAUUUAAAUUCACAAGCAGAAUUGCUAAGUCAGAGAGGAUGUGCAUUUUUCACUGGGACACGUGUUGCCACAUUGCCCACCCUGCAUCGACGGCAUCUACGGGUACCACCCUGCACCCUCUUCUGCAUGGCGGCAGCCCUCGUCUCUGCCUCUCUGAUGGGAACAGUGGCUGUCAUCUUAAUUGGGUUUUCUCUUAUGAGUGAAGUCAUUUGGUGUUUUAGAAGAAUGAAUUGAUGGCGUGUGUGCCAUAUUAGCUAAUACUCAUUGAGCUCAUUCUAUGAGCCUCAGUGCUUCUCUCAAAUUAGCUCAUCUAACCCUCAUUCUUAAGGGGCAGGUACUUUGUCACCAGCCCCCUUUCACAGAUGAGAGCAGAUGACAGGGCCUGUGGCUUACAAAGUGACAAAACUGAGCCUGGAACAUGAGCAAACUGGUUCCAGAUUCCAUGCUGCUGACCUCAGAGCUGCCCUGCCUCCAAACCAACUGGCAGAGAAGGGGCUCAAGUGAGAAUGGAGAGGCAGCGGUCCGCCACUGGGGAGCCCCUGUCUGUACAGAACGCAUGGGCAGCAGAAGCCUUGGGCGCAGUUGUACAGGAAGCCCCAGAGAAGCAGCCCAUCGGCAGCCUUGUGACGGAAGCCCACAGUGUCUGCACAGGGCCCCUGCUCCCUGAGCCUCUCACGCCUGCAUCUGAGCAGCUGGCUGCAAUUCUCGCCUGUGUGGGGGCUUUGACACCAGGCUUUCUGUCUGGGGAUGGGCGAUCACAUGAAUGUGGCCCUGGCUGCUCUACCAUGCGAAGAAGGAAGUCCAAGAAACAUCUGGAAAGUUAGCCUUUCUCUCUGCAGCAAUGGGGAGGAGGAAAUGCCUUCGAGCAGCUUGAUGAAUGAACGAACCUGUGAGGGCAUCGGUCCUUCCAUCAGCAAACUCCCGUGCCAAGGUCCUUUAGGAGCAAAGAGAAAAACAGCUGUCAGAGGCAGCCAUCCUGUUACUGAUUAAACAAGGCAAAUUCUAUCGGAACAGAAUCGGAGACACCCCUGGACACCUAAUUACACAGUCUGGAACGAGAAACAUGGGCAGGGGAAAGGGAAUAUGAACAAACAGUGCAGCGGCAGCACGGUGCCCCCCCCAGCGCCAGAAGCUGUCAUCUCCCCGAGGCCUCCAGACGGGAGCACAGGACUUACCUCCUGCUCCUCGGAUAAGGUGCCCGCUCCGGGAAGGGGCCCCCCAGCUGUGCUGACCCCCGCCUGCCCCCACCAGCCAGGGCACAGCGGCGUGUGGGCCAGAGCCCCUCUCAGGGCCACCUCUGACCCCGUGGGGAGCAGGUGUCUU